GUGUCGCGAAGUACGCGAUGAUUGUAAAUAAUAGACAGCAACACUUAAGCCCGGAAACGUAAAAUAAAGAACAUGAAAUUUAGUCUAUGAAAUUACAAGUAUGCAGUGACAUUGACAGUAGUGACAAGUACAAACAGGUUUCAUAAACGCGGCUAUCGACAAACAACUUCGAAUCCUGUUGUUAAUUAUCAAAUUGCUUGAGAAAUCCAGUGUUUCAUAAUUGGAAAGUGCUCACAAAUCAAAUAUUAAAGGAAAUAAUUCAUUAUAUCGUCAGGUAACUUCAUAGAUGCUUUAAGAGGAAAUUACAUACUACAUAUCAACAUCAUUGCCCAGUGGUGGAGAGAAUGCAUUGCUGUAGUAUUUGAAGAAAAUCUAAUAAAAGAAACUAGGUUCAAUUAAUGACAAGGUAUGUAAAUGUAAGUUUAGAACCCCUGGUGUAUUAAAAGGGGACAAGUUAAAGCCUUUUUUAAUGAGA